rnacentral:ncRNA from 1 species
UCGAGCUGUGUGAGGGAAAGCCUCAAGCACGGUUCUGUGAGGGGUAUUAAGCAAUCAAAGGAGGUUGCAAAAGAUGUCUACUCGAC